ACUCCAAAAGAACAUUCAAGUCCACAAAAAAAUUAAUAAUCAAGAAUCUGAAGUGUGACAACAGUACAUGGGAUUCACUGGGCGACGAUUUGAAAAUGCACUACAAACAAUGGUUUGAAGCCUGCCCGAACAAAAAGGAAGAGUAAGUUUCAAUUAUAUAAAACUUUACAGUUUGCUUAUGCAAAAUUACAAAAAUAUAUUUGUUUUAAUUGGAGUAUGAAUUCAAUGUUUUUCUACAGUGAAGCGUACUGGACAUGUCCUGAAGGUUGGAACUGUUUAUCAAAGAGUGACUUGAAAAGGAUCAUCGAACACUCAGACAUAUUGUCGAGUGUGAGUAAUAAAAAAAUAAUAAUAUCACCUUAUUAGCACCACUCAGUGAAGUUUAGAUUUAAUAAUAUUGACUUAUGUUAUGAUCGCAGAGCCUGCAAGUGUACAUGAGGUUGUUGAAGGAAAGGGCAGAAGCUGCCAAACUUCCUGUUGGAUUCAUGAACAUGGAGGUUGUAGUAAGUUUACUAGGGGCAAUAAAACUUAUAUUUUCAUCAAGAUAUUGUUUUGCACUAGGGGUAGUAAACUUAAGUUUUUGCUAUGUAUAUUUAUUUUUCUUUCAUUUGAUCUCUAUAAUGACUGUGAGGAUACCAUCUGGAAACUUUCUAUGUAACUUUUACUACCCCUAGUAAAGUAUGUUCUAGGGUGCAGAACAACAAAAACUGAGGUUCUCAAAACAUUACUACCCUUAGUAAAGUAUGUGUUAGGCUGCAGAACAACAAAAACUGAGGUUCUGGAAACUUUACUAUCCCUAGUAAAGUAUGUGUUAGGCUGCAGAACAACAAAAUCUAAUGCUUUGGAACAUUACUAACCCCAGUAAAGUUUACUACCCCUAGAACAUACUUUACUAGGGUGUACAACAACAAAAACUGAGGUUCUGAAAACAUUACUACCCAUAGUAAAGUAUGUGUUAGGCUGCAGAACAACAAAAUCUGAUGCUUUGGAACAUUACUAACCCCAGUAAAGUUUACUAUGGGUUGUAAAAUGUUAUUUAUAUCUGUUGGUUGAUCUAAGGUUAAUCAUAUUUGUUUUUUAAAUGCAGAAGGAUGUGAUAGAGCAUGAAACAAUGUUGGAACUGCACAAGCUAAGUGGAGGAACAACUGGAGACUUCAAAAGUGGUUAUGAACUCGGUAUGGAGGAAAACUUCUAUAACCCACUUUGGACCCUGUUUGGAAAGCAGAUGGUCUUCAUUCCGUUACAUCACGGGUCCAGCCUUCACUACACUUUGCUGCUGAUUGACAACAUCAACAAAUGCUUUUAUCACAUGAACUCUUCGCUGCCAACACCGUACAAAGAAAAAGACAACUUUCACUUCAAAAAUGCAAAAGCAGUGGUGAGUAAACAAUCAAAACAUUUUUAUUAAAAAAAAAAAUGCAAAGCAUUCAAUUGUUAAGGUUAACUAAUGUUUAAAAAUUGUUUUGUUGCUUAAUAUACAGGUGAAGCACAUCAAGGAGUUCAUCAAACGUAUAC
rnacentral:lncRNA from 1 species